UCAAUGUAGUGACUCAAGGCUCGUACAGACUACAUGACUUUAAAACGUUGGUCCGAACUGUGCGGUUCACACUACAUGACUUGCUCUCUGUGAAAUCAGGAGUGUUCACGUUGUUGAUCAGUUCACACCACACGACAUAACGUGACUGCCCCACAACAGGAGGUAACGCACUACACGAGUUGAGAACAACUCUAUCACCCGGCGAUUCUAUCUUGUCCACAAACCACGUUUUGUCACGAAAAAUCACGCGAUAAAACAAACCGGAAAUGACGCGAAACAACACGCGCAUCAGUAAACCCACAGAAGAAGAACGAAGACGACGCGCAAAACUUUUGUUUGUAUAUAUAGACUUCAGACAGAAAUUCGUGCUGCAAACCGUUUGCGCGAUGCAAAGCCGCAAAAGAAAAAAAUGAAGAGAUGUGUAUGUGGAGAGGUGGAUCAACACCACACGAGGACAGCAGGGAUUUAAGAGUUGGAGAAUAGGACAGGCUUCGCAAAGCAUGACUUGGAGAGCGUUUGUCUUUGACCCUGCGAUUCUAUGCAACAGGUGACACGUUCAAGUCCCUCAGGUUCAAGUCCAGGAUGGGGGACCAGCACCAUCCCACAAAUAGUUUUGGAUAGCUGUUCUGUACCAGGUUAUAAAGGACGAUUUCUUGAAGAUAGGGUUAUUACAAAAUAUAAA